rnacentral:rRNA from 1 species
CCUACGGGAGGCUGCAGUGGGGAAUAUUGGACAAUGGGGGGAACCCUGAUCCAGCCAUGCCGCGUGUGUGAAGAAGGCCCUCGGGUUGUAAAGCACUUUCAGUGAGGAAGAACGCCUGGUGGUUAAUACCCAUCAGGAAAGACAUCACUCACAGAAGAAGCACCGGCUAACUCCGUGCCAGCAGCCGCGGUAAUACGGAGGGUGCGAGCGUUAAUCGGAAUUACUGGGCGUAAAGCGCGCGUAGGUGGCUUGAUAAGCCGGUUGUGAAAGCCCCGGGCUCAACCUGGGAACGGCAUCCGGAACUGUCAAGCUAGAGUGCAGGAGAGGAAAGUAGAAUUCCCGGUGUAGCGGUGAAAUGCGUAGAGAUCGGGAGGAAUACCAGUGGCGAAGGCGGCCUUCUGGACUGACACUGACACUGAGGUGCGAAAGCGUGGGUAGCAAACAGGAUUAGAUACCCUAGUAGUC